GACGAACGCUGGCGGCGUGCUUAACACAUGCAAGUCGAACGGAAAGGCCCUGCUUUUGUGGGGUGCUCGAGUGGCGAACGGGUGAGUAACACGUGAGUAACCUGCCCCUGACUUUGGGAUAACUUCAGGAAACUGGGGCUAAUACCGGAUAGGAGCUCCUGCCGCAUGGUGGGGGUUGGAAAGGUUCGGCGGUUGGGGAUGGACUCGCGGCUUAUCAGCUUGUUGGUGGGGUAGUGGCUUACCAAGGCGUUGACGGGUAGCCGGCCUGAGAGGGUGACCGGCCACAUUGGGACUGAGAUACGGCCCAGACUCCUACGGGAGGCAGCAGUGGGGAAUAUUGCACAAUGGGCGGAAGCCUGAUGCAGCAACGCCGCGUGCGGGAUGACGGCCUUCGGGUUGUAAACCGCUUUCGGCUGUGACGAAGCGUGAGUGACGGUAAUGGGUAAAGAAGCACCGGCUAACUACGUG
rnacentral:rRNA from 1 species